rnacentral:rRNA from 1 species
UACGUAGGGUGCGAGCGUUGUCCGGAAUUAUUGGGCGUAAAGAGCUCGUAGGCGGUGUGUCACGUCGGCCGUGAAAACCUGCAGCUUAACUGUGGGCGUGCGGUCGAUACGGGCAUCACUGGAGUUCGGCAGGGGGAGACUGGAAUUCCUGGUGUAGCGGUGAAAUGCGCAGAUAUCAGGAGGAACACCGGUGGCGAAGGCGGGUCUCUGGGGCCGAUACUGACGCUGAGGAGCGAAAGCGUGGGGGAGCGAACAGG